rnacentral:lncRNA from 1 species
GACACGUGUCAACACCUGGCAGAAACGACUUAUUUCAUCUGGAAUAUUAUAUUCAAAAUUAGGCCUUGGAAAUUUCUAUAAAUACAAGCCAUUUCAUUCAUUUGGGGGAACCAAAAUCAUUAGGCAAAACUCUUGAAGCUCUGAAGCUCUGAAACUCCGAAGCUCUCAAGCAUCCAGGUUCCCGAAGAAUCAAGAAAGCGUUCUUCGUUCAUCGUUCAUCCUAAGAUCAAGCCCCAACGGCC